GAUGAACGCUAGCUACAGGCUUAACACAUGCAAGUCGAGGGGAAACGACAUCGAAAGCUUGCUUUUGAUGGGCGUCGACCGGCGCACGGGUGAGUAACGCGUAUCCAACCUGCCCACCACUUGGGGAUAACCUUGCGAAAGUAAGACUAAUACCCAAUGAUAUCUCUAGAAGACAUCUGAAGGAGAUUAAAGAUUUAUCGGUGAUGGAUGGGGAUGCGUCUGAUUAGCUUGUUGGCGGGGUAGCGGCCCACCAAGGCGACGAUCAGUAGGGGGUCUGAGAGGAAGGUCCCCCACAUUGGAACUGAGACACGGUCCAAACUCCUACGGGAGGCAGCAGUGAGGAAUAUUGGUCAAUGGGCGAGAGCCUGAACCAGCCAAGUAGCGUGCAGGAUGACGGCCCUAUGGGUUGUAAACUGCUUUUAUAAGGGAAUAAAGUGAGUCUCGUGAGACUUUUUGCAUGUACCUUAUGAAUAAGGACCGGCUAAUUCCGUGCCAGCCGCCGCCGUAA
rnacentral:rRNA from 1 species